GAUGAACGCUGGCGGCGUGCCUAAUACAUGCAAGUCGAGCGAACGGACGAGAAGCGUUCUUCUCUGAUGUUAGCUGCGGACGGGUGAUUAACACGUGGAUAACCUACCUAUAAUACUGGGAUAACUUCGGGAAACCGGAGCUAAUACCGGAUAAUAUUUUGAACCGCAUGGUUCAAGAGUGAAAGACGGUCUUGCUGUCACUUAUAUAUGGAUCCGCGCUGCAUUAGCUAGUUGGUAAGGUAACGGCUUACCAAGGCAACGAUGCAUAGCCGACCUGAGAGGGUGAUUGGCCACACUGGAACUGAGACACGGUCCAGACUCCUACGGGAGGCAGCAGUAGGGAAUCUUCCGCAAUGGGAGAAAGCCUGACGGAGCAAAGCCGCGUGAGUGAAGCAGGUCUUCGGAUCGUAAAACUCUGUUAUUAGGGAAGAACAUAUGUGUAAGUAAGUGUGACCAUCUUGACGGUACCUAAUCAGAACGCCACGGCUAACUACGUG
rnacentral:rRNA from 1 species